rnacentral:snoRNA from 1 species
AAGCACCGGGACGGUCGCACCGCUCGCUCGUCAUUUGUGCGAAUGGUGCAUCCCAACGUGCCAGAUGG